rnacentral:rRNA from 1 species
AGCAGCCGCGGUAAUUCCAGCCCCAAUAGCGUAUAUUAAAGUUGUUGCAGUUGAAAAGCUCGUAGUUGAAUUUCGGGAUCAAUAUGUUGGUCGUGCCUCGGUACGUACUGGCAUCAUUGGUUUCUCCCUUCUGAUGAACCAUGAUGCCAUUAAUUUGGUGUCGUGGGGAAUCAGGACUGUUACUUUGAAAAAUUAGAGUGUUUAAAGCAGGCUCACGCUUGAAUACAUUAGCAUGGAAUAAUGAAAUAGGACGUUUGAUUCUAUUUUGUUGGUUUCUAGGAUCGACGUAAUGAUUAAUAGGGAUAGUUGGGGGCAUUAGUAUUCAAUUGUCAGAGGUGAAAUUCUUGGAUUUAUUGAAGACUAACUACUGCGAAAGCAUUUGCCAAGGAUGUUUUCAUUAAUCAAGAACGAAAGUUAGGGGAUCGAAGACGAUCAGAUACCGUCGUAGU